GACGAACGCUGGCGGCGUGCCUAAUACAUGCAAGUCGAACGAAGUGGCGAACGGGUGAGUAAUACGUGAGUAACCUGCCCUCCUUUUUGGGAUAAGCCUUGGAAACGGGGUCUAAUACCGAAUAACGGGGGAUGGGCUCGCGGCCUAUCAGCUGGUUGGUGGGGUGAUGGCCUACCAAGGCGGCGACGGGUAGCCGGCCUGAGAGGGUGACCGGGCACAUUGAGACUGAGCUACGGCCCAGGCUCCUACGCGGUGCAGCAGUGUGGGCUAUUGCACAAUGUGCGAGGGCCUAAUGCAGCGUCGCCACGUGUGGGUUGAAGUCUUUCGGGUUGUAAAGCUCUUUCGCUAUCGAGCGGUUAAGUGGCCAGAGAGCGCCGGCUAACUACGUGCCAGCGGCCGCGGUAAUAC
rnacentral:rRNA from 1 species